rnacentral:lncRNA from 1 species
GGCUCCUCGUGUGUGUAAGAGCUCAGAGUGAUCUGUCCAGUCGAAUAAGCUAGUUAUGUGUUCUUAUCUCUCAAGGAAAAUGUGUUUUAUUCAAAAAAUGUUGUACAAAUGAUCGAUGUAGACGUAAUUAAUUACGUUACUGUGAUUUCCUGGUUUUUCACAUAACCCAGAUUUUAGUUUGAUUUUCAAAAUUGGCACCAACAUGUAUGAAAAAUUUAAUUAUCUAACGACCGUGAAACCUGAAACCAAGGAUAAAGCCGAAAAAGAACUGUCGAAAGAGGAACAUCUACCAGCUCAAGGAACUCUUGUCUCUUCUUUGGUAUGAUCAUCAUACCUUAAGGUGGUCUUACAGAUUCAGGUUCCCACCAAAACCAAGGUAAAAAAAAAAAGUUUUUAGGAUUCUGAACAAUGAUGUCAGUGUAACAAUGAAACGGUAGCAGACUGAGAAUCCAACAGAUUAGUUCUAUGAACUGAGAUAUAAAAAAAUUACAAAAAUUUUUGUCAUGAGGGACUAGCAGAUCUUUACCAAUGGUCUGCUGUAACUGUUACAUUUCUUUGAUGCCAUCAUGAAUCACUUUAUGACCAUUCCAUUUUCUAUUACCAAGAAGCUAGUGUGUUGUUGGGAGGUGUUUAAUAUUUUUAUUUUCACAAACUUUUACGUAAAUCAUAUUUUUUUCCCCUGACAGGAAGUUUUGCACAUCUGUCUGAGAAAUGUUAUUUCAUAAAGGAUAAAUGACAAAAGAAAUGAAGCUGCCACAAAGACUGACCGGCUUCGCGUUAACUUGUCAUUUAACAAUCAAUAGCAUCACAAAAGCAGUGAGUGUAAGGGAGAUGGAAAAGUAGAAAGAAACUACUUACAGAUGCAGCUCCAUGUAUACGUAUACAAAGCUCAAACAGGAUUUAACUAGCCCUUUCAUAUGCAAAUGCACGAGUAUGUAUACAUACAUAUAUAUUUUUCUUUUCAGUAAUCAUUUGAGUUUGCCAUAUUUUCGCGCUCAAAAGAUGACAGCAUUUUGGAGGUUUUGAGUUUGCUAUACCGUUUUAUUGCCACAUGACAGAUUGGAGACAAUUUGGAUGGAGGCCGUUUUACCAAACCGUGACAGUAAAUCCCUAUUGCCUAUCGAUAAAAUAAGUUUGGGAACGCGACAUUGGACCCCCAACAGUGGCCCCGGAGGGUAACCCGACACCAGCCCCCCCGACAUUGGCCCCUACCGUUUUUGCAG